rnacentral:snoRNA from 1 species
AUCAUCCAAAUUCAAUUUAUUUCUUGUUGUUUUUACACUGUAAUAAGAAAUUGAAUUUGGAAAUAUCAAAAUAUUGUCUAGGUGAGGUUCCUGUUACUUAUUGACAGUAAACCUCAAUCCGGCAACAAACAUGUUU